UUGGCCCUGAGUCAAGAGCAGCAGUUGGCUGAAGCUGUUGCUUUCAGGCAGGAGCCUGAAGAAAUGUUUUCUCUGUGGUCUGUUGACCAUUUCAGAACUUUGGAAACGUAAUGGGCAAUCCAUUGGGAAGAAACAUCA